UGGAGGAUUGAGAAAGUUAAGCAGAAUGUUACUGUACUGCGUUAACUGGUUAUAACCUCCUAGAAAAAUGACAAGUUUUGCUUUGCCUUGUAUUUUCCUUUACUAGUGUCAUUGCAAUACUUGUCUACAGUUU